GACGUGCUAAUCUGCGAUAAGCGUCGGUAAGGUGAUAUGAACCGUUAUAACCGGCGAUUUCCGAAUGGGGAAACCCAGUGUGUUUCGACACACUAUCAUUAACUGAAUCCAUAGGUUAAUGAGGCGAACCGGGGGAACUGAAACAUCUAAGUACCCCGAGGAAAAGAAAUCAACCGAGAUUCCCCCAGUAGCGGCGAGCGAACGGGGAGCAGCCCAGAGCCUGAAUCAGUGUGUGUGUUAGUGGAAGCGUCUGGAAAGGCGCGCGAUACAGGGUGACAGCCCCGUACACAAAAAUGCACAUGCUGUGAGCUCGAUGAGUAGGGCGGGACACGUGGUAUCCUGUCUGAAUAUGGGGGGACCAUCCUCCAAGGCUAAAUACUCCUGACUGACCGAUAGUGAACCAGUACCGUGAGGGAAAGGCGAAAAGAACCCCGGCGAGGGGAGUGAAAAAGAACCUGAAACCGUGUACGUACAAGCAGUGGGAGCCUCUUUAUGGGGUGACUGCGUACCUUUUGUAUAAUGGGUCAGCGACUUAUAUUCUGUAGCAAGGUUAACCGAAUAGGGGAGCCGAAGGGAAACCGAGUCUUAACUGGGCGUUAAGUUGCAGGGUAUAGACCCGAAACCCGGUGAUCUAGCCAUGGGCAGGUUGAAGGUUGGGUAACACUAACUGGAGGACCGAACCGACUAAUGUUGAAAAAUUAGCGGAUGACUUGUGGCUGGGGGUGAAAGGCCAAUCAAACCGGGAGAUAGCUGGUUCUCCCCGAAAGCUAUUUAGGUAGCGCCUCGUGAAUUCAUCUCCGGGGGUAGAGCACUGUUUCGGCAAGGGGGUCAUCCCGACUUACCAACCCGAUGCAAACUGCGAAUACCGGAGAAUGUUAUCACGGGAGACACACGGCGGGUGCUAACGUCCGUCGUGAAGAGGGAAACAACCCAGACCGCCAGCUAAGGUCCCAAAGUCAUGGUUAAGUGGGAAACGAUGUGGGAAGGCCCAGACAGCCAGGAUGUUGGCUUAGAAGCAGCCAUCAUUUAAAGAAAGCGUAAUAGCUCACUGGUCGAGUCGGCCUGCGCGGAAGAUGUAACGGGGCUAAACCAUGCACCGAAGCUGCGGCAGCGACGCUUAUGCGUUGUUGGGUAGGGGAGCGUUCUGUAAGCCUGUGAAGGUGUGCUGUGAGGCAUGCUGGAGGUAUCAGAAGUGCGAAUGCUGACAUAAGUAACGAUAAAGCGGGUGAAAAGCCCGCUCGCCGGAAGACCAAGGGUUCCUGUCCAACGUUAAUCGGGGCAGGGUGAGUCGACCCCUAAGGCGAGGCCGAAAGGCGUAGUCGAUGGGAAACAGGUUAAUAUUCCUGUACUUGGUGUUACUGCGAAGGGG
rnacentral:rRNA from 1 species